AUUGAACGCUGGCGGCAGGCCUAACACAUGCAAGUCGAACGAGUGGCAGACGGGUGAGUAAUGUCUGGGAAACUGCCUGAUGGAGGGGGAUAACUACUGGAAACGGUAGCUAAUACCGCAUACCAUCAGAUGUGCCCAGAUGGGAUUAGCUUGUUGGUGGGGUAACGGUUCACCAAGGCGACGAUCCCUCGCUGGUCUGAGAGGAUGACAGGCCACACUGGCACUGAGACACGGUCAAGAGUCCUACGGGAGGAAGCGGGGGGGAAUAUUGCACAAUUGGCGCAAGCCUGAUGCAGCCAUGCAGCGUGUAUGAAGAAGGCCUUAGGGUUGUAAAGUACUUUCAGCGGUGAGGCGUUACCCGCAGAAGAAGCACCGGCUAACUCCGUGCCAGCAGCCGCGGUAAUAC
rnacentral:rRNA from 1 species